rnacentral:rRNA from 1 species
GAUGAACGCUGGCGGCGUGCCUAAUACAUGCAAGUCGAGCGAACAGACGGGGAGCUUGCUCCUCUGACGUUAGCGGCGGACGGGUGAGUAACACGUGGAUAACCUACCUAUAAGACUGGGAUAACUUCGGGCAACCGGAGCUAAUACCGGAUAAUAUAUUGAACCGCAUGGUUCAAUAGUGAAAGACGGUUUUGCUGUCACUUAUAGAUGGAUCCGCGCCGCAUUAGCUAGUUGGUAAGGUAACGGCUUACCAAGGCCACGAUGCGUAGCCGACCUGAGAGGGGGACCAGCCACACUGGAACUGAGACACGGUCCAGACUCCUACGGGAGGCAGCAGUAGGGAAUCUUCCGCAAUGGGGGAAAGCUUGACGGAGCAACGCCGCGUGAGUGAUGAAGGUCUUCGGAUCGUAAAACUCUGUUAUUAGGGAAGAACAAAUGUGUAAGAAACUAUGCACGUGAUGACGGUACCUGAUCAGAAAGCCACGGCUAACUACGUG